AAGAACUAAUAAAGCUCUCACAGCGCCAGCUUAGAUGGAGACCCAGAGCUGGCCCGGGUAAAGUGAGGAUGUUGAGUCUCCCCCCGACUCUCCCUCCACUGUCUCCUGAUACCUGUUUCUGCAGAGCAGUGCUGACCCACUCUGGGCAGGUGGUCAUUUGGGAUCCCACCUCAGCACCCUGUUGGGCCUGUGAGCCCGGGACCGCGUCCUCUUGCCAGGCAUCUCAGCCCCACCUGGACGCUAUUUCCCCAGGGCCCAGCUCUUCCCAAAUGGAACCUAAUCCAACCAACUGGUGAGCUUAGGACAAUGUGUCCCUGCAAAACUCCCCUGUCCCACAGGUUCUCCAGACCUUUCAACCCAAAUCUGGUGCCUUUUCAGGGUCCCGUAGACAAGAAUGCCAAUGUAAUUAGGAUAAGAGGCAGGAAGGGGUUUAAAGCUCAGGCCAAGUUUAUUAAAAAAUACACCAUGGGAAAAAACAGAGACCUGGUGGAGUUCUCGCUGUGUUCACGUGCUGAGUGACUGAGAGGCGCACAGCCUCACAUGCAUGCACACGUGAUGUGUUCAUUCAGGGAGGGAGGGCUUUGUCCUCCUUGCCUAGGCUCAACCCAAGAGCUAGGAGAAAAAUAACAGCAGGCAUGGGAGGUGGGGCAUCCAGAGCAGUGAGGCAUAGCCUGCUACACUCUCUUUAUGCAGGUGUCACUGGGCAGGGAUCUGAGGAGGCGCUGGGCCAGGGCUUCCAGAGCAGAGGGAACUGCAGGCUCCUGAGGCUAGAGGCCAGGAGGUCAGCAGGGAGGCAGGAGGAAGGGAAGGAAGGGGAGGAGUGGGAGGAGGUGGGGCCACAGACACCCUUGGGGCCAGCAGUGUCGGCCUUCAGAGGCCCUGGAAGGACCUUGGCUUCCCCCCAGGCAGUGGAGUCCAAUGCAUUCUGCCUUCAGUCUUCCAUGACCUUUAUCUCAGCUCCUCCUCAGCACGUGACAGGAGGCUCCCUAGGGGCACACCGCGUGCCUGUGCCUCCCCGCGCCAAAGCUGGACUCCAUGAGUCCACAGCACCAUUCUGCUCAGUAGGUUGUGCAAACAGGAGAAUGACGCAAGCCGACCUCACCGGCGUCUUCUGUCCUGGGCCAAGUCCGCUUGCUGGCACCUCUGCAGCCUGCGUGCAGCAUUCCGCAGGGCUCCUUCUGACUGACUGCUCGUAUUCCACGGUGCCUCGUCCAGACAAAGAGUGAUCAAUCUGCUCGUGUUUCUAACCCAGACAUAGUGAUCUUCGAUGGCCAGCUGUGACCACAGAGAACAGGAACAGCAGGUGGAAGUGCAUGCUCUCCCUGGCAUGAAAAUCAAAACUCCUACAGAAGCAUUUCCUCUGGAUAAGAUUGUCAGCUUUACCUAAGGCAAACUUAACCAUCAUUUAUUGAACCCUUAUGUGAAAGACACUUUGAGUAUAUACACAUCAAUCCAAUUCCUGCCACCUGGAAAGAGUGUUGGCACAGAUGAAUGUAAAAAUACAUAAUGCGUUAUCACAGACAUGUAUGUAAAGGGCACAGCAGAUUAGAUUAAUUCUGGCUGAAAAAGACUGAGUUGAAUAAUUACAUUUAAACAUGUAGCAAAUUAUUUUAGCUAUAUCAUUUGUUAGAUAUAGCUUGCUAAGCAUGUGAGUGAAAAAUGGAUAUGAUGGGUCAUACACUUAAUUCACACAGUGGUAAUAUGUAAGAAAAAUAUAGCUUAAUUUCUUAUUUUCUCUGAUUCUUCUUUAUAAUCAACUCUCUCAAAUAUUCAACAAAUUCUUCAACAAUUUCUCCCCUGAAACUCAAACACAUCAGACAAUACAUUUAUUCUAUCUUUCUCACUGAGCCUCCUUCCUAAGGUCCCCCAUCCACUAGCUCCAGUCUGGACCAAGACUCCUGAGCUGACCCCACAUCUCUGCCCGGGUCCAGAAGCUCACUGUGGAAGACCAGGUACCAUCUUGUUUUAAGUUUUUACACAUCAGAAAUGUCCACUUUUCUUCCCUCAUAUUUAAAUGACUGCAUAGCUGGGUAUAAAUUUUUUUUUCUUUUUUUCUGUGAAGUCACAGGGUAUUUUUCGCUUGUCUUCUCACUUCUUGCAUUGCUGCUGAGAAAACCAGUGCAUGUUGUUUCUUUGUACUUUCUGUUCCAGUCCCUGAUAUGACUGCCAGGGUCCCCAUCAGAUCUUCUCCUCAUCUCUGUUGACAGCUCACAGUCCUGUGCCUUC
rnacentral:lncRNA from 13 species